rnacentral:rRNA from 1 species
UCCGGUUGAUCCUGCCRGACCCGACUGCUAUCAGAGUGAGACUAAGCCAUGCGAGUUAACGUAUGAAUAAUACGUGGCACACGGCUCAGUAACACGUAGUCAACAUGCCCAGAGGACGUGGAUAACCUCGGGAAACUGAGGAUAAACCGCGAUAGGCCAUAAUUACUGGAAUGGGUUAUGGCUUAAACCUAUAUGGCCUCUGGAUUGGACUGCGGCCGAUCAGGCUGUUGGUGAGGUAAUGGCCCACCAAACCUGUUACCGGUACGGGCUCUGAGAGGAGGAGCCCGGAGAUGGGCACUGAGACAAGGGCCCAGGCCCUAUGGGGCGCAGCAGGCGCGAAACCUCUGCAAUAGGCGAAAGCCUGACAGGGUUACUCUGAGUGAUUCCCGCUAAGGGGAUCUUUUGGCACCUCUAAAAAUGGUGCAGAAUAAGGGGUGGGCAAGUCUGGUGUCAGCCGCCGCGGUAAUACCAGCACCCCGAGUGGUCGGGACGAUUAUUGGGCCUAAAGCAUCCGUAGCCGGUCAUGCAAGUCCUCCGUUAAAUCCACCUGCUCAACAGAUGGGCUGCGGAGGAUACUACAAGGCUAGGAGGCGGAAGAGGCAAGCGGUACUCAGUGGGUAGGGGUAAAAUCCUCUGAUCCAUUGAAGACCACCAGUGGCGAAGGCGGCUUGCCAAUACGCGCUCGACGGUGAGGGAUGAAAGCUGGGGGAGCAAACCGGAUUAGAUACCCGGGUAGUCCCAGCUGUAAACGAUGCAGACUCGGUGAUGGGCCGGCUUUAUGCCGGCUCAGUGCCGCAGGGAAGCCGUUAAGUCUGCCGCCUGGGGAGUACGGUCGCAAGACUGAAACUUAAAGGAAUUGGCGGGGGAGCACCACAAGGGGUGAAGCCUGCGGUUCAAUUGGAKUCAACGCCGGRA